rnacentral:rRNA from 1 species
UACGAGGGGUGCAAGCGUUAUUCGGAUUAAUUGGGCGUAAAGGGUGCGCAGACGGUUUGUUAAGUCACUUGUUAAAUUCUUCGGCCUAACUGAAGGUGUGCGAGUGAUACUGGCGAACUAGAGGGUGGAAGAGAGAAGUGGAAUUCUCGGAGUAGCGGUAAAAUGCGUAGAUCUCGAGAGGAACACCAAUGGCGAAGGCAGCUUCUUGGUCCAUUCCUGACGUUCAUGCACGAAAGCGUGGGGAGCAAACAGG